rnacentral:lncRNA from 1 species
AGGGUUGAGGGGGAGGCCUAAGUAGGUGGUCGGGAAAGCGCCAUGCUUCGCCGGGAAGGCCUCCUGCAGAGCCGCAAGGGUGGUCUCGUCGUCACAGGCGAUGGGGAAGAGCUCGAUUUGUCCACGUUCGUGCGGAGUCCCGAAGGCAUCGCCGAACACAUGAAGGAGGCGGUUGAUCGCGGCCAAAUCCGCCGGGUGCGGGCUGAAGAAAAUUCCGGCAUCAUCUGCGU